UAGCAUAUCAAUAAGCGGAGGAAAAGAAACUAACAAGGAUUCCCCUAGUAGCGGCGAGCGAAGCGGGAAGAGCUCAAAUUUAUAAUCUGGCACCUUCGGUGUCCGAGUUGUAAUCUCUAGAAAUGUUUUCCGCGCUGGACCGCACACAAGUCUGUUGGAAUACAGCGGCAUAGUGGUGAGACCCCCGUAUAUGGUGCGGACGCCCAGCGCUUUGUGAUACAUUUUCGAAGAGUCGAGUUGUUUGGGAAUGCAGCUCAAAUUGGGUGGUAAAUUCCAUCUAAAGCUAAAUAUUGGCGAGAGACCGAUAGCGAACAAGUACCGUGAGGGAAAGAUGAAAAGCACUUUGGAAAGAGAGUUAACAGUACGUGAAAUUGUUGGAAGGGAAACGCUUGAAGUCAGACUUGCUUGCCGAGCAAUCGGUUUGCAGGCCAGCAUCAGUUUUCCGGGAUGGAUAAUGGUAGAGAGAAGGUAGCAGUUUCGGCUGUGUUAUAGCUCUCUGCUGGAUACAUCUUGGGGGACUGAGGAACGCAGUGUGCCUUUGGCGGGGGUUUCGACCUCUUCACACUUAGGAUGCUGGUGGAAUGGCUUUAAACGACCCGUCUUGAAACACGGACCAAGGAGUCUAACAUGCUUGCGAGUAUUUGGGUGUCAAACCCGGAUGCGUAAUGAAAGUGAAUGGAGGUGGGAACCGCAAGGUGCACCAUCGACCGAUCUGGAUUUUUAAUGAUGGAUUUGAGUAAGAGCACGUAUGUUGGGACCCGAAAGAUGGUGAACUAUGCCUGAAUAGGGCGAAGCCAGAGGAAACUCUGGUGGAGGCUCGUAGCGGUUCUGACGUGCAAAUCGAUCGUCAAAUUUGGGUAUAGGGGCGAAAGACUAAUCGAACCAUCUAGUAGCUGGUUCCUGCCG
rnacentral:rRNA from 1 species